rnacentral:rRNA from 1 species
AAGGCGUAYGGYGGAGACCUAGGCAUUCAGAGCCGAUGAAGGGCGUGGAUACCGACGAAACGCUUCGGGGAGUUGGAAACAAGCGGUGAUCCGAAGAUACCCGAAUGGGGAAACCUGUAAAACUUCUUAUUGAAUUCAUAGAUAAGGAAGAGACAACUUGCUGAAUUGAAACAUCUUAGUAAGCAAAGGAAAAGAAAGCAAACGCGAUUUCCUGAGUAGCGGCGAGCGAAACGGAAACAGCCUAAACCUAUUGAAUUUAUUCAGUAGGGGUCGUGGGAAGAAAUGUCAUAAGGCACAUAAAAAUCGAAAAUCAAGCAGCUGAAUCCUGCACCAAAGAAGGUGAAAGUCCUGUAGUUGAAAGAUUUUUAGGUCUUAUUUUCUAAUCCCGAGUAGCAUGGGGCACGUGAAAUCCCGUGUGAAUUUGCGAGGACCACCUCGUAAGGCUAAAUACUCCUGAAUGACCGAUAGUGAAAUAGUACCGUGAGGGAAAGGUGAAACAGAACCCCCGUAGGGAGUGAAAAAGAACAUGAAAUCAUAAGCUGACAAACAGUGGGAGCUUAGGUGACCGCGUGCCUGUUGAAGAAUGAGCCGGCGACUUAUAGGGAGUGGCUUGGUUAAGAUGAUCAGUCGGAGCCAAAGCGAAAGCAAGUCUGAAUAGGGCGUUUGUCACUUCUUAUGGACCCGAACCCGAGUGAUCUAACCAUGGCCAGGAUGAAACUUGGGUAACACCAAAUGGAAGACCGAACCGACCGAUGUUGAAAAAUCGGCGGAUGAGCUGUGGUUAGGGGUGAAAUUCCAGUCGAACUCGGAGCUAGCUGGAUCUCCUCGAAAUGUGUUGAGGCGCAGCGGUUGAUGAUGGGUUAUUUAGGGGUAAAGCACUGUUUCGGUGCGGGCUGCGAAAGCGGUACUAAAUCGUCGCAAACUAAGAAUACUAAAUACGCUUUCCAUCAACCAGUAAGACAGUGGGGGAUAAGCUUCAUUGUCAAAAGGGAAACAGCCCAGACCACCAGCUAAGGCCCCUAAAUGGCCGCUAAGUGGCAAAGGAGGUGAAAAGGCCGAGACAACCAGAAGGUUUGCUUAGAAGCAGCCAUCCUUAAAAGAGUGCGUAAUAGCUCACUGGUAGAGCCUUUUUGCGCCGAAAAUGAACGGGACUAAGCGGCCUGCCGAAGCUGUGGGAUUGAAAACAUUUUGAAUCGGUAGAGGAGCGUUCCGCUCUAGGGUGAAGUUUAAACGUGAGUUUGAAUGGACGACGCGGAAGUGAGAAUGUCGGCUUGAGUAACGCAAACAUUGGUGAGAAUCCAAUGUCCCGAAAACCUAAGGGUUCCUUUACAAGGCUCGUCCAUGAAGGGUUAGUCAGGUCCUAAGGCGAGGUCGAAAGGCGUAGUCGAUGGCAAACAGGUUAAUAUUCCUGUACUUUUUUUCAUUUGAUAACGAAGGACGAAGAAGGUUACGGCUAGCAGAGAUUUGGAAUUCUCUGUAGAAAUAGUCAAGUGGCAAUCGAAUAAAAACGAUUGAAAAAACGAGACAUGACAUGCUUUUUUUCUCGGAAAAAAGUUAGCUUACAUCAAACUUCCAAGAAAAGCUCGUAUUAUUUUACAAUGAAAAAAACCUGUACCCGAAACCGACACAGGUAGGUAGGUAGAGAAUACUAAGGGACGCGAGAUAACUCUCUCUAAGGAACUCGGCAAAAUGGCCCCGUAACUUCGGGAGAAGGGGUGGCUACUCGUAAGAGAGCUCGCAGUGACCAGGCCCAGGCGACUGUUUAUCAAAAACACAGGUCUCCGCAAAGUUGUAAAACGAAAUAUGGGGGCUGACGCCUGCCCAGUGCCGGAAGGUAAAGGAAGUUGGUUAUUCGAUAAGAAAAAGCUGACGACCGAAGCCCCGGUAAACGGCGGCUGUAACUCUGACAGUCCUAAGGUAGCGAAAUUCCUUGCCAAGUAAGUUUUGGCCCGCACGAAAGGCGUAACGAUCUGGGCGCUGUCUCGGAGAGAGACUCGGUGAAAUAGACAUGUCUGUGAAGAUGCGGACUACUUAUACCAGGACAGAAAGACCCUAUGAAGCUUGAAGGUAGCUUGGAAUUGGGUUUGGGCUCUUUUUGCGCAGUCUAAGUGGGAGGCGAAGAAGAUACGGUUUCGGCUUUAUCUGAGCCAUCAGUGAGAGACCACUCUAAAAGAGCUAGAAUCCUAAUAGGACUCCUUGAAACAGGAUCCUUGACCGUUUCAGGCGGACCUUUUUUCUGGGGCGGAUGCCUGCUAAAAGGUAACGGAGGUGUGCAAAGGUUCCCUCAGGCUGGACGGAAAUCAGCUGUAGAGUGUAAAGGUAGAAGGGAGCUUGACUGCAAGACCUACAAGUCGAGCAGGGGCGAAAGCCGGCCUUAGUGAUCCGACGGUACCAAGUGGAAGGGCCGUCGCUCAACGGAUAAAAGUUACUCUAGGGAUAACAGGCUGAUCUCCCCCAAGAGUUCGCAUCGACGGGGAGGUUUGGCACCUCGAUGUCGGCUCAUCGCAACCUGGGGCUGUAGUCGGUCCCAAGGGUUGGGCUGUUCGCCCAUGAAAGCGGUACGUGAGCUGGGUUCAGAACGUCGUGAGACAGUUCGGUCCAUAUCCGGUG